rnacentral:piRNA from 1 species
GAAUUCAUGGAGAAGACUGAGGAUGU